GUGUCAGCAGCCGCGGUAAUACGGAGGAUGCGAGCGUUAUCCGGAAUCACUGGGUUUAAAGGGUGCGUAGGCUGUUUUGAAAGUCAGGAGUGAAAGGUUCCCGCUUAACGGGAGAAGUGCUUUUGAUACUUUGGAACUGGAAUGAGAUUGAGGCUGGCGGAAUGUGACAUGUAGCGGUGAAAUGCAUAGAUAUGUCAUAGAACACCAAUUGCGAAGGCAGCUGGCUGGGUCUUUAUUGACGCUGAGGCACGAAAGCGUGGGUAGCGAACAGGAUUAGAUACCCUGGUAGUCCACGCCCUAAACGAUGCUAACUCGAUGUUUGUCUCGUAGAGAUGAGCGUCCAAGGGAAACCGUUAAGUUAGCCACCUGGGGAGUACGUCGGCAACGAUGAA
rnacentral:rRNA from 1 species